UGGGGAAUAUUGGACAAUGGGGGCAACCCUGAUCCAGCAAUGUCGCGUGUGCGAUGAAGGCCUGCGGGUUGUAAAGCACUUUCGGUAGGGAAGAAAUACUCAAAUAUAAUACAUUUGAGGGCUGACGUUACCUACAGAAGAAGUACCGGCAAACUCUGUGCCAGCAGCCGCGGUAAUACAGAGGGUACAAGCGUUAAUCGGAGUUAUUGGGCGUAAAGGGCGUGUAGGCGGAUUUUUUAGUCGAUUGUGAAAUCCCUAGGCUUAACCUAGGAACGGCAGUCGAUACUGGAUUUCUUGAGUAUGGUAGAGGAAAGUGGAAUUUUCGGUGUAGUGGUUAAAUACGUAGAUAUCGAAAAGAACAUCGGUGGCGAAGGCGACUUUCUGGACCAAUACUGACGCUGAGGCGCGAAAGCAUGGGGAGCAAACAGG
rnacentral:rRNA from 1 species